UACGGGGGGGCAAGCGUUGUUCGGAAUUACUGGGCGUAAAGGGCUCGUAGGCGGCCAACUAAGUCGGACGUGAAAUCCCCAGGCUCAACCUGGGAACUGCGUCUGAUACUGGAUGGCUUGAAUCCGGGAGAGGGAUGCAGAAUUCCAGGUGUAGCGGUGAAAUGCGUAGAUAUCUGGAGGAAUACCGGUGGCGAAGGCGGCAUCCUGGACCGGCAUUGACGCUGAGGAGCGAAAGCUAGGGGAGCAAACGGG
rnacentral:rRNA from 1 species